GACGAACGCUGGCGGCGUGCCUAACACAUGCAAGUCGAACGACGAAGAAGAGAAACGCGAACUUUGGUUCAAGUUUCACUUCGGAUUAUUGGCAGACGGGCGAGAAAUGCGUGUGCAACCUACCUCUCACAAAGGGACAGCCUCGGGAAACCGUGAUUAAUAACAUAUGACACCUUCAUAAGGCAUCUUAAGAAUGGUAAAGCUACGGCGGUAACAGAUGGGCUGGCGUCCCAUUAGCAAGUUGGUGAGGUAACGGCCCACCAAGGGGACGAUGGGUAACAGGCGAGAGAGGGUGAGCGGUAACAUUGGAACUGAGGCACGGUCGAAAAUCCUACGGGAGGCAGCGGUGGGGAAUAUUGCCCAAUGGAGGUGACUCUGAUACACCGACGCCGUGUAAGCGAUGAAGGUAUGCGUUACGUAAAGCUCUGUUAUAUGGGAAUAAAAGGACGGUACCAAAAGAGAAAGCCCCGGCUAACUACGUG
rnacentral:rRNA from 1 species